AGGACGAACGCUGGCGGCGUGCUUAACACAUGCAAGUCAAGGGGGGCCCAGCAAUGGGCAACCGGCGAACGGGUGCGUAACACGUGAGCAACCUACCGAAAUGUGGGGGAUAGCCGGCCUAACGGCCGAGUAAUACCGCAUACGCUCUCGAUGAGGCAUUUCAUUGAGAGGAAACCUACGGGACAUUUCGAGGGGCUCGCGGCCUAUCAGCUAGUUGGCGAGGUAACGGCUCACCAAGGCAACGACGGGUAGCUGGUCUGAGAGGAUGGCCAGCCACAUUGGGACUGAGAUACGGCCCAGACUCCUACGGGAGGCAGCAGGUGGGGGAAUCUUGCGCAAUGGCCUAACGGCUGACGCAGCGACGCCGCGUGUGGAUGAAGCUCUUCGGAGUGUAAACCACUGUUGCCCGGACGAAUAGCUCGAUUAGUCGAGCCUGACGGUACCGGGUGAGGAGCACCGCUAACUCCGUGCCAGCAGCCGCGGUAA
rnacentral:rRNA from 1 species